rnacentral:lncRNA from 1 species
AAAACUCAAAAUCAAAGCUCAAUAAUCUCACACUUAUCUUUCAUAAUCCAUAUAAAAAGCAUCUCAAAGCUCAUAUAAUCAACAAUGACAUUUCAUGGAAUCUUUUAUAGAAACAAAAAUUCAGACAUGAGCUUUGAAGAACACGAAGCAACGAUCACAGGAACGUAGAAAUUAUCAAAAACAGAUAAAAAUCCAUACCUUAAUCAAGGAUCAAAGUGCCAAAACCUAGCUUGUUCUUUUCCUCC